rnacentral:rRNA from 1 species
UACGGAGGGGGCUAGCGUUGUUCGGAAUUACUGGGCGUAAAGCGCACGUAGGCGGCUUUGUAAGUUAGAGGUGAAAGCCCGGGGCUCAACUCCGGAAUUGCCUUUAAGACUGCAUCGCUCGAAUUGUGGAGAGGUAAGUGGAAUUCCGAAGUGUAGAGGUGAAAUUCGUAGAUAUUCGGAAGAACACCAGUGGCGAAGGCGACUUACUGGACACAUAUUAACGCUGAGGUGGCGAAAAGCGUGGGGAGCAAACAGG